AUUGAACGCUGGCGGCGGGCCUAACACAUGCAAGUCGAGCGGAGCGGCGGACGGGUGAGUAAUGCCUGGGGAUCUGCAUGGUGGUGAGGGAUAAAGUCCGGAGAGGGGCGCUAAUACAGCAUACUAUAAGGUGAGCCUAGGUCGGAUUAGCUAGUUGGUGGGGUAAAGGCUUACCAAGGCGACGAGCCGUAACUGGCCUGAGAGGAUGAUCAGCCACACUGGAACUGAGACACGGUCCAGACUCCUACGGGAGGCAGCAGUGGGGAAUAUUGGACAAUGGGCGAAAGCCUGAUCCAGCCAUGCCGCGUGUGUGAAGAAGGUCUUCGGAUUGUAAAGCACUGUAAGUUGGGAGGCGGUACCUACAGAAUAAGCACCGGCUAACUACGUGCCAGCAGCCGCGGUAAUAC
rnacentral:rRNA from 1 species